rnacentral:rRNA from 1 species
CCUACGGGUGGCAGCAGUGAGGAAUAUUGGUCAAUGGACGAGAGUCUGAACCAGCCAAGUAGCGUGAAGGAUGACUGCCCUAUGGGUUGUAAACUUCUUUUAUAUGGGAAUAAACUGUUCCACGUUUUGGAUUUUGUAUGUAACAUAUGAAUAAGGAUCGGCUAACUCCGUGCCAGCAGCCGCGGUAAUACGGAGGAUCCGAGCGUUAUCCGGAUUUAUUGGGUUUAACGGGAGCGUAGGUGGAUUGUUAAGUCAGUUGUGAAAGUUUGCGGCUCAACCGUAAAAUUGCAGUUGAAACUGGCAGUCUUGAGUACAGUAGAGGUGGGCGGAAGUCGUGGUGUAGCGGUGAAAUGCUUAGAUAGCACGAAGAACUCCGAUUGCGAAGGCAGUUCACUGGACUGCAACUGACACUGAGGCUCGAAAGUGUGGGUAUCAAACAGGAUUAGAUACCCCUGUAGUC